UACGGGGGGAGCAAGCGUUGUUCGGAUUUACUGGGCGUAAGGCGUGUGUAGGUGGCUUGACAAGUCGGUUGUGAAAUCCCCGGGCUCAACCUGGGAAUUGCUUCCGAGACUGUCAGGCUAGAGAUCGGUAGAGGGCGGUGGAAUUUCCGGUGUAGCGGUGAAAUGCGUAGAUAUCGGAAGGAACACCAAUGGCGAAGGCAGCCGCCUGGGCCUGAUCUGACACUGAGACACGAAAGCGUGGGGAUCAAACAGG
rnacentral:rRNA from 1 species